rnacentral:misc_RNA from 1 species
AACUAACUACUGAAUUUUUCUAUUAUAUAAGAUCAUCUUCUUUAAUUAACAACACCAAUAAAACCCAUGUGCUAUUUUCACUGCUACCAUUCCCAGGCCAUUAGUUCUAUCUCUGGAAAUCUUCGUUUCCAUAUAUAUAUAAAUAUAUGGAAAGAUUAUAUUGGUCUUUAUGGUCUGUUUCAUUUGUGAGCUUUCCAUGUUUUUUUCCUUGUUUUUCUUCUAAAUGUUAAACUUGAUCUUUGUAUAUUUGGGGAAAACCUAGACCCAGCCAUUAUUGAUACAAUA